ensembl:lncRNA
AUCCAUCGAUGACUUCAUAGCUGAAUGUACUGUUAGGAAAUGAGUCACUGGGAUGGAACUUGGAAGGCAGUAUUCUUGCUCCCUCUCCUUCCUGCUCUCUCUGCUUCCUGGCUUCCAUGGGUUGAAUGGCUUUCCUCUGCCAUGUCCCUUUGUCAUCCUAUUUCUGCCUUGGAGCCAGCCAACCAUGGACUGCAACCAUGAGCCAAAAGAAAUCUCUCAUUUAAACUAACUGUGUUCCAGGAGGCGAGAGGCCAGCUCCACCCACGACUCAGAUACCUGCACAAAGACUUCUCCCAAAAACAGCACUGAGUUCUGUGCAUCCUCCCACUGCAUUGCUCAGAAUAAUAAAAGGAUGGAGUAGAGUUUGGUGUCACUGUCUUGAUUAAUAUUAAGACUCUAGUAGCA